rnacentral:rRNA from 1 species
GACGAACCGUGCAAACGUUGUUCGGAAUCACUGGGCUUAAAGGGCGCGUAGGCGGGCCAGCCAGUCUGUGGUGAAAGCCUCCAGCUUAACUGGAGAAGUGCCGUGGAUACUGCUGGCCUCGAGGAGGGUAGGGGCAUCUGGAACGGUCGGUGGAGCGGUGAAAUGCGUUGAUAUCGACCGGAACUCCGGUGGCGAAGGCGAGGUGCUGGGCCCUUUCUGACGCUGAUGCGCGAAAGCCAGGUGAGCAAACGGG